GACGAACGCUGGCGGCGUGCUUAACACAUGCAAGUGGUGCGACGAACCAGGGCUUGCCCUGGGGCAAAGCCGCGAACGGGUGAGUAACACGUGGGUAACCUGCCCCGAUGACCGGGACAACCCGAGGAAACUCGGGCUAAUACCGGAUGUGGUGCACACACAUAAGUGUGUUCACUAAAGGAAGCUUCGGCCUCCGCAUUGGGAGGGGCCCGCGGCCCAUUAGCUUGUUGGUGGGGUCAUGGCCUACCAAGGCGACGAUGGGUAGCUGGUCUGAGAGGACGAUCAGCCACACUGGGACUGAGACACGGCCCAGACUCCUACGGGAGGCAGCAGUGGGGAAUCUUGCGCAAUGCGCGAAAGCGUGACGCAGCAACGCCGCGUGGGGGAAGACGGCUUUCGGGUUGUAAACCCCUUUCAGGAGGGACGAAGGCUCACCGGUGAAUAGCCGUGUGGGUUGACGGUACCUCCAGAAGAAGCUCCGGCUAACUACGUGCCAGCCGCCGCAGUAAUAC
rnacentral:rRNA from 1 species